rnacentral:hammerhead_ribozyme from 1 species
ACCCAGUUGAUAAGUCGCAAAUAGGACGAAACGCGCAUCCUGGAU